rnacentral:rRNA from 1 species
UUAGUUACCAGCACGUAUGGUGGGCGACUCUAAGGAGGACUGCCGGUGACAAACCGGACGGAAGGUGGGGAGUGACGUCAAGUCAUCAUGGCCCUUACGGCCUGGGCUACACACGUGCUACAAUGGUCGGUACAAAGGGUUGCCAAGCCGCGAGGUGGAGCUAAUCCCAUAAAACCGAAUCGUAGUCCGGAUCGCAGUCUGCAACUCGACUGCGUGAAGUCGGAAUCGCUAGUAAUCGUGAAUCAGAAUGUCACGGUGAAUACGUUCCCGGGCCUU